CUCUUGUUCCCCCGGUGUCAGCCUCUCGGUCUGGUGGGAAUACGAGCCCAGCGUGUACGGAUUGGAGCACCACCGGGAUACACGGAUCGCCUUCAGCCGCGGGAGGUCUGCGCGUCCCAUAAACUGCUUCAAAAUCUUCACACAUGUGUUCCCAAUCUCCUCGUCACUCAGAUCUUCCAUAUAUUCCGCACCUUCCCCAGCAACCCAACCAAGAAUGGUGUUGUCCUUCGUAAAUACUUGGUCAAACCCAAAUAUUCUUUUGAACCAAGCACUUUUGUCUUGCUUUACAUCCGUGU